rnacentral:rRNA from 1 species
CCUACGGGUGGCAGCAGUGGGGGAUAUUGCACAAUGGGGGAAACCCUGAUGCAGCGACGCCGCGUGUGGGAAGACGGUCUUCUGGAUUGUAAACCACUGUCCCCAGGGACGAAAAUGACGGUACCUGGGGAGGAAGCUCCGGCUAACUACGUGCCAGCAGCCGCGGUAAUACGUGGGGAGCAAGCGUUGUCCGGAAUUACUGGGUGUAAAGGGAGCGUAGGCGGGGAUGCAAGUUGGGUGUCAAAACUACCGGCUCAACCGAUAGUCGCACUCAAAACUGCAACUCUUGAGUGAAGUAGAGGCAGGCGGAAUUCCUAGUGUAGCGGUGAAAUGCGUAGAUAUUAGGAGGAACACCAGUGGCGAAGGCGGCCUGCUGGGCUUUUACUGACGCUGAAGCACGAAAGCGUGGGUAUCGAACAGGAUUAGAUACCCGAGUAGUC